rnacentral:rRNA from 1 species
CUAUGCGCCUUGCCAGCCCGCUCAGGUGUGCCAGCCGCCGCGGUAAUACGGAGGAUGCGAGCGUUAUCCGGAUUUAUUGGUUUAAAGGGUGCGUAGGCGGUCCGUUAAGUCAGCGGUAAAAUUGCGGGGCUCAACCCCGUCGAGCCGUUGAAACUGUCAGACUUGAGUUGGCGAGAGGUACGCGGAAUGCGCGGUGUAGCGGUGAAAUGCAUAGAUAUCGCGCAGAACUCCGAUUGCGAAGGCAGCGUACCGGCGCCAGACUGACGCUGAGGCACGAAAGCGUGGGGAUCGAACAGG